UUAUACUUUAUACAAAAUUAAUUAAGAGAAUUGACCGGCAAUCAAGACUCAAUCUCUAAAGCUCUGUUAUGAUGUUAAAUAAUUGACUGUGACCAGUUACCACAAAAAUUUAAACUGGUAGAAAAUGGUCUAAUAUAUCGUUUAUGCUUUCAGAAAUACUAAACCAAAAAUAACCUUAAACACAUGUAACAUCAUUUAAGCUUGUAUAUAUCUGAAGGAAGUAUCUGUAUCCUAAGGCAAGAGGAGAAAAAUAUCAUCCAUAUAACGAAAACAGGAAACUUUCAUGUUGACUUGUGGCUCAUAUCCAUAGUCACUUUUCAUAAUUAGGUCUGGUAAGGGGGGUUGGGUGCAUGAAGCAAAGUGUUUUCCAGCAUGAUAUAGUUUUUUUAGUCCUGGAUAGUUUUUUAUUAUUAUUAUUUUUGAGAUAAACUUGUAAAAUUGGAUUUCUUUUCAAAGUAAAAAUACAAGAGGCUGUUCUUGAUAUAGUGAAAAUUUUUGCAGGUGGCUCCAUGGAGUAAGCACAUCACUGAAUCACGUUAUAAUCCUUUCUGUUAUUUCUAUCUCUACUGCUUUUACUAUAAUAUGUGCACUUUGCGUGGUUUAUUAGGCAACAACUUCAACAGCAUCCUCCAUCACAAUAAAAUCCUACAUUAGACACUUAAAAGUGAUUUAUAAAUUAAUUUUAUACAAAAUUAAAGGAAAACUAGAAGUAUCAUAUGGGAUUCAAAUGUAAAUUAAACCAACUUUUUAGCAUUAUGGAAAUUUCUGUUGAAGAAUGAAAUGACGCAGAGAGAAGAAGCUAUCCUCACAAAAAGAAGGGAAAAGCAAAAAUAAAAAAUAAAUAAAUAAAUAAAAUGGGAUCUGAAGACCAAAGAUAAUAUGCAUAACAAGCACCUGCAACUCCACCAAGCAUAACUCCCUCUAAAAGGCCAAGGGAUCAAACUAUCUUAAAUGUUAUCCUCCAUAAAUCACAUACUAAGCCUGUCAAAAGCUCCUAAAAAAUAUUGGACAACUUGCAUAAGAACAAAGAA
rnacentral:lncRNA from 1 species